CCUACGGGUGGCAGCAGUGGGGGAUAUUGCACAAUGGGGGGAACCCUGAUGCAGCGACGCCGCGUGGGUGAAGAAGCGCCUCGGCGCGUAAAGCCCUGUCAGCAGGGAAGAAAAUGACGGUACCUGAAGAAGCCUCCCCGGCUAACUACGUGCCAGCAGCCGCGGUAAUACGUAGGGGGCAAGCGUUAUCCGGAUUUACUGGGUGUAAAGGGGGCGCAGACGGCGAUGCAAGCCAGGAGUGAAAGCCGGGGGCCCAACCCCGGGACUGCUCGGGGAACUGCGUGGCGGGAGUGCAGGAGGGGCAGGCGGAAUUCCGGGUGUAGCGGUGAAAGGCGUAGAUAUCAGGAGGAACACCGGUGGCGAAGGCGGCAUGGUGGACUGCAACGGACGUUGAGGCCCGAAAGCGUGGGGAGCAAACAGGAUUAGAUACCCGGGUAGUC
rnacentral:rRNA from 1 species